CACCAACCUUCAUUCUCCACUGCCGGCAUCACGAUUACACCGCCGUCACUCCGUUUGCUCACGCUGCCACGGUCGCUCCUCAUGUAUCCCCUUCAAUUUCAUUUGGAAAUUCCUAAAUUCCCCUUGAUCCUCUCCAUGCCGAUGACCCCUCUGCUCUUCAGAUCCGUGUGCCAGAAGGUUGUGAUCUUGUUGCUGCUGGAGCACUUGCUGUGACAUUUGGCACUUUUCAUGUAGCACUUGUGCAUAGAGCUAAUUUAACCUUAGUCAGGUGUUGAUGGUUUUGGGUGCAGCAGGAGGUGUAGGGCUUGCAGCUGUUCAAAUUAGAAAAGUGUGUGGUGCCAUUGUCAUUGCUGUUGCUAGGUAGUACU